CCUUCGGCUGUUGCCUACUCUAUAGUCGGGUUGUUGUCUCUUUGACACAUUCCCCAUUUUCAUGCUCAAUUUUAUAAUAAAUUAGUUAUGAUACAUAUAGUAAAAAAAGUUUGCAUGUUUAAUUGGUCGAAUAACAAGUAUCAAGAAGAUAAGUAAGUUGAUUUAUUUCAGAAAGCGGUAACAAAACAUGUAGACUACUAUUGGUGAAAAUAACGGCG
rnacentral:lncRNA from 1 species